rnacentral:lncRNA from 1 species
UUAAGUAAAAAUGUUAAAGAAAAUGAAAUCAUAAGUUGAUUGAAAAAUAAAUGGUUAAAAAUGAAAGUAGUAAAAAAUAAGAAAAUAAAUAAAUAAAAGAAAAUUAAAUAAAAAAACAAAGGGGGGUAUGGCCCAAACAGGUCUUUGAAGGAGUAAAAACAAAAUUGAGCCCAAGGGAAGGCCCCAGAACAAAACCAUGUGUGUGAGAGAGAGAGAGUUUGAAUCAAACUCUGAAAUCUCCCUCCAACAUUGAGAUAUUUAAACAUGCUUUCCCGCCUUGUCGCGUCGGAGCUCAUCGCCGAUGGUGAUAGAGCUCCAAAAUCG